rnacentral:misc_RNA from 1 species
AGAAAGAUUCUUGCCGACAGGAUCAUAGAAGAUUACAAAAAGAAUAUUUUCAUUCAUAUUUCAUCAAAGGUUUCCAGGUUCGAUCGCAAGCAUCAACAAAAAUAUAUUCGUGGGAUCAAAGCAUGUCGACUUACCGCUUGCUUCCUUUCCCAACUCUUCAUGGCCGACUUGUACUUCUCGAAUUCGUGGCACCAAUCCGAGUAUAUCUUCUGAUAGUCGUUUGACUUGGCUGGCGCAGAGCAUCUGUGUGCGUCCACUGUGAUGUUGUACGAGCAGAGGAGCGAAC